UACCAGCACCCCGAGUGGUCGGGACGUUUAUUGGGCCUAAAGCAUCCGUAGCCGGUUCUACAAGUCUUCCAUUAAAUCCAACUGCUUAACAGGUGGGCUGCGGAAGAUACUAUAGAGCUAGGAGGCGGGAGAGGCAAGCGUACUCGGAUGGUGAAGGGUAAAUCCGUGAUCCAUUGAAGACCACCAGUGGCGAAGGCGGCUUGCCAGAACGCGCUCGACGGUGAGGGAUGAAAGCUGGGGGAGCAAACCGG
rnacentral:rRNA from 1 species